UACGUAGGCAGCGAGCGUUGUUCGGAGUUACUGGGCGUAAAGAGUGCGUAGGCGGUGCUCCAAGUCUGGUGUGAAAUCUCCCGGCUUAACCGGGAGGGUGCGCCGGAAACUGGGGUGCUGGAGUGUGGGAGAGGUAAGCGGAAUUCCCGGUGUAGCGGUGAAAUGCGCAGAUAUCGGGAGGAACACCAGUGGCGAAGGCGGCACUCUGGGCCAGUAUUGACGCUGAGGAGCGAAAGCGUGGGGAGCGAACAGG
rnacentral:rRNA from 1 species